rnacentral:rRNA from 1 species
AGUGAACGCUGGCGGUAGGCCUAACACAUGCAAGUCGAACGGCAGCACAGUAAGAGCUUGCUCUUACGGGUGGCGAGUGGCGGACGGGAGAGGAAUACAUCGGAAUCUACUUUUUCGUGGGGGAUAACGUAGGGAAACUUACGCUAAUACCGCAUACGACCUACGGGUGAAAGCAGGGGAUCUUCGCACCUUGCGCGAUUGAAUGAGCCGAUGUCGGAUUAGCUAGUUGGCGGGGUAAAGGCCCACCAAGGCGACGAUCCGUAGCCGGUCUGAGAGGAUGGUCGGCCACACUGGAACGGAGACAGGGUCCAGACUCCUACGGGAGGCAGCAGUGGGGAAUAUUGGGCAAUGGGCGGAAGCCUGAUCCAGCCAGACCGCGUGGGUGAAGAAGGCCUUCGGGUUGUAAAGCCCUUUUGUGGGGAAAGAAAAGCAGCAGGUUAAUACCCCGCUGUUCUGACGGUACCCAAUGAAUAAGCACCGGCUAACUUCGUG